UUUUUAAACGUCACAUGGCGCUUGUGAUACUUUGGCCAGGAGGUGACGAUACGUUUAACGGCAGGUUCAAAGUGAAAGGCACCGUUUGUUUAUCACCUAAGCUCUCAAAAGCCACGAAGUGAGAAAAAAAUGAAGAGGUUAAUUUAUUAAGUUCGAUAUGAUUUUGACCAAGUUUGACGUGCUCUCUAGUGUAAUUGUCCACAUAGUCGAACAAUUUCGGCUUAAUUUGCAGCUUACACGCUAAUAUUCGUAUUGAUACAGCGUGAUCUGUUUUUCCUCGCGUAUGACAAUGCUUUUUGCUGGCGGGAUGGAUGUUCCACGCGUCCGCCUGGUCAGAACCCAGCGGAGCGCCCCAGCAAGGGGCAGCCCUCCUGUGCAGCUUCUGUACCACUGAAAGUUGCCAUUUUUGCAAGAAAUCCCCAAAUUAUCUCAUGGAAGGCUGUAGAAACUUGGUAAACGCGACGUGAAAAGUAGCAACGUUUGCCUCACCAAAUCGCGACGCAAACGUGAGGCGUUCAACGCUUCAACGGUGGAUCGUGCGAGUCUUUAUUUGAACGUACUUCUGCCAAACGGAACUAUGUGCAUUAUGACGUGAGCCCUGUUGUGCGUAUAUCCUUAUGGGUCUCAGGGCUCAUGUCUAAAUGCACAUAGUGUUGUUUGGCAGAAAUACGUCCGUUUGACUCUCGUCUACGGUCAACAGUUGGGCAGUAUUUUUCUGAAAGGCACCAGAUGACGUCAGCUGUUGCCUUAUCUUAUUGGACGUUUUAUUUUUUUAGAGAGAACGUUUUUACCGAUUUUUUUUAAAAUUUCAUUGAAUUUUCGUUAAAAUGCAAAGCUGCAUGAUCCUCUGGACUAUUCAAGAGAAUCAAUAUUACCGCUCUCUUACAAAAGAAUAAUUUUUUCCUGGGAAUUUGGCAACAGUCGAUGUCACUUGAUUCUUUUUAGAGAAACACCGCCUGGUUAACGCUCAUCGACAAACAAGCGUUUCUCUCCGCUCUGGUCGUUCGAUUUGACCCGUAAAACCGUCUCGGAACGUGAGUGAUUGCGAACGUGACCGUUAAAUCGUGACGUCAUCCUGUUUCUAGCUUCUUGAUUGUCCGACGACGAGGAGAGCCACUCACCUUUUCCUGAUGAAAAAUAGUUCGGAGAUCCACAAUGGCUGUGCGAGCAAUUCAAAACGGCGCCACAUUACUGGACGGAAGCAAAACUGUGGUAAACGGACUCAAGUAAAUUCGUGGGUGUAGAGGAAAACAAGCCCGAUCCUCAUCACGAGAAGAAGAAAAAGAAGAAGAAGAAGAAGAAGAAAAAGAAAAAUAUGAAGAAGAAGAAGAAGAAGAGGAAGAGGAAGAGGAAGAGGAAGAGGAAGAGGAAGAAGAAGAAGAAGAAGAAGAAGAAGAAGAAGAAGAAGAAGAAGAAGAAGAAGAAGAGGAUACCGCACAGUGCAGGACCAACGAUGAAGCAUCAGCUGUGCCAAGUACAUUAUCGUAGUUGGCUUUUUGAAAACUGUGAAUAUGCAAAAAUAUGACUUACUGCACAUAUAGGACGCAGUUCAAUCGUUUCACGCGAUCAAUUAAAUCGUGUAUUUUGAAAAUGGGCA